GGAGCUUUCAUAGAAAUCACAAACACAGAUAGGUCUGGUGGAAGGCUGAGAUCUGUUACUUUCUUGCUUAAGGAUACUAGGUAGGCAAUGUGAUUGCAUUGAACAUAUAGUUACUUUCUCAUGCUUAAUUCAGUUGUAAUUGAUAUGAUUGUUUAUACUGUCAAUAACAACAUGGUUCAUGUGACAUUAUAUGGGAUGAUUUGUGCAAGCAAUUCUUUGAUGGAUUCAAUCAAUUGAAUGGACCGGAUACAAUCUUUCUCAUUGUGAAGCAUGCUAGGGAUAAAGAAGCUCAUGGAAUUUACCCACAAUGUGUCACCAAUACCUGGACUUGUACCAAACUGCUAUGGAAUCAAGAUAUCCCUGAAAUUACUGACUUCAAAACUAGAUUUGCAGCUGCUGAAGUAGAGGAUGACAAUGCAACACAAGCAUUAUCCCAGUUCACCCAAGGAUCCCAAAUUACUGACAAUGCUGAUAUCAUGUCAAGGGCAAACUUUCUCACUCUCAAUGAGGUUAACCAUGUCCAACAUGUAAGUUAUUUUUAGCGUAUAUAGUUGGAACAUGUAUUCAUUAUUAAACGACAUGUUUUUAUUAAUAGACAUGUUCCUUCCUAAGGAAACCAUCUGCGUAACUGUUGCUAAAAUUCAAAAGCUCAACGCAAUGAAAUUUGGAUGGUUUUAUGAUGGAUGUAACUUUUGUACUAUGGGUGUCAAGAUGGAUAAUGGAAAGUUGAUAUGUAACAAGAAACACAACAAUGAUAAUCCAAAAUCAAGGUGGGUGCACACAAUUAAGUACUUAACUUCACAUUAGAUUUUUAUUGUCAUUAGCCUAAUUAUAUAGUUAAUAAUGAUAUUACAAGUACAAGGUUGAGAUUCAAGCUGGACACAAAGACGACAAGGCUAGGUUUAUAAUAUGGGACAAUGAUGUCACCUCCAUUGUUAAGAUAUUUGCAGAAGAUUUGAAGGCUGAAUUGAUUAGGGUAGAUUUUCCAUUAUGGAAUAUAGUUUAAUUUACUUUAACCCUUUGUUUAUUUUGCUAUCUAUCCUUCUUAUGCCAUUUCCAAACUGGUGAGUACCAUCCAAAGUCAUAUCCAAAACCUCUUGACCAACUUGUGAGUCCAAAGAGAGUUUGGAAGAUCAAAAUUGUACCUGGAGGGAAUCCGACAUCAGUUAUACAAUUCAGUGACAACCCACAACUACUAGCUAAUCUAGAAAAACAAUUUGGAUUGGAAGAGGUAUAUAAAUCAAUUGCAUCAGUUGUACUUUCUUUUGGUAAACAUUCAAAUUGAAUUACAUGAUAUGCAUAUGUGUACAAACAAGUUCAAAGUUGGAAAUUAUUGUCUCAGAGAAUGUUGGUCAAGAGAAAGACUACUCAGAUAUGAUAACUAGUCUCAAGCGGAUGAAAAUGAUCCAACUGCUACUUCAGUUACCCCUCCUCCAAAAAGGGUGUCUCAAGAGGAUGCUGAAUGGGUUGGUUGUAACCAAGAUGUGGAGGCUACUCAGCUAUCAUCAACUAAGUUUGCAGAACAUCCCAAGAUCAAACCAGAUAACUAAUCAGCGCAUUCCUAACUUGGACCAACAUCUGCCUUUUUUGGUGUCAGAUACAUGAACUUGGUGUUCUUUUUUGUAUAAUUCCCUACUUUUAGAAAUUAUUCGGGCUAUGUAAUAUUUAACUUUUAUUUCUAAGACCUGAUGACUAAACUGGUAACAUCCAAGUACUCUUAAGUUGAAAC